rnacentral:rRNA from 1 species
UACGGAGGGUGCAAACGUUGCUCGGAAUUAUUGGGCGUAAAGCGCACGCAGGCGGACUAUCAAGUCGGUUGUGAAAUCCCUCGGCUUAACCGAGGACGUGCAUUCGAAACUGAUGGCCUUGAGUACGAAAGAGGAUCGCGGAAUUCCCGGUGUAGAGGUGAAAUUCGUAGAUAUCGGGAGGAACACCAGUGGCGAAAGCGACUCUCUAGGCCGUACCUGACGCUCAGAUGCGAAAGCCAGGGGAGAGAACGGG